CCUAGUGGCGGACGGGGGAGUAACGCGUGAGUAACCUGCCUUUCAGAGGGGAAGAACGUUCUGAAAAGAACGCUAAUACCGCAUAACGUACAGUUACCGCAUGGUAGCAGUACCAAAGGAGCAAUCCGCUGAAAGAUGGACUCGCGUCCGAUUAGCUAGUUGGUGGGGUAAAGGCCUACCAAGGCGACGAUCGGUAGCCGGACUGAGAGGUUGAACGGCCACAUUGGGACUGAGACACGGCCCAG
rnacentral:rRNA from 1 species